UACGUAGGUCCCGAGCGUUGUCCGGAUUUAUUGGGCGUAAAGCGAGCGCAGGUGGUUUAUUAAGUCUGGUGUAAAAGGCAGUGGCUCAACCAUUGUAUGCAUUGGAAACUGGUAGACUUGAGUGCAGGAGAGGAGAGUGGAAUUCCAUGUGUAGCGGUAAAAUGCGUAGAUAUAUGGAGGAACACCGGUGGCGAAAGCGGCUCUCUGGCCUGUAACUGACGCUGAGGCUCGAAAGCGUGGGUAGCGAACAGG
rnacentral:rRNA from 1 species